CCUACGGGAGGCAGCAGUGGGGAAUAUUGGGCAAUGGGCGCAAGCCUGACCCAGCAACGCCGCGUGAAGGAAGAAGGCUUUCGGGUUGUAAACUUCUUUUCUCAGGGACGAAGAAAGUGACGGUACCUGAGGAAUAAGCCACGGCUAACUACGUGCCAGCCGCCGCGGUAAUCCGUAGGUGGCAAGCGUUAUCCGGAUUUACUGGGUGUAAAGGGCGUGUAGGCGGGACUGCAAGUCAGAUGUGAAAACCACGGGCUCAACCUGUGGACUGCAUUUGAAACUGUAGAUCUUGAGUCCUGGAGAGGCAGACGGAAUUCCUAGUGUAGCGGUGAAAUGCGUAGAUAUUAGGAGGAACACCAGUGGCGAAGGCGAUCUGCUGGACAGCAACUGACGCUGAGGCGCGAAAGCGUGGGGAGCAAACAGGAUUAGAUACCCGAGUAGUC
rnacentral:rRNA from 1 species